CCUACGGGAGGCAGCAGUGGGGAAUAUUGCGCAAUGGGCGAAAGCCUGACGCAGCGACGCCGCGUGAGGGAUGAAGGUCUUCGGAUCGUAAACCUCUGUCAGCAGGGAAGAACGGUCACUGUGCUAAUCAGCAGUGAAUUGACGGUACCUGCAACGGAAGCACCGGCUAACUCCGUGCCAGCAGCCGCGGUAAUACGGAGGGUGCGAGCGUUAAUCGGAAUUACUGGGCGUAAAGCGCUCGUAGGCGGUAUGUCAAGUCAAGGGUGAAAUCCCCGCGCUCAACGGGGGAACUGCCUUUGAAACUGGCAAACUGGAGUGUGUGAGAGGAUAGUGGAAUUCCAGGUGUAGGAGUGAAAUGCGUAGAUAUCUGGAGGAACAUCAGUGGCGAAGGCGACUAUCUGGCACAUAACUGACGCUGAGGAGCGAAAGCGUGGGUAGCAAACAGGAUUAGAUACCCUUGUAGUC
rnacentral:rRNA from 1 species